rnacentral:pre_miRNA from 1 species
AAAGUGAUGCGAUGACACACCUUAACACCAGUGCGCUGAAGGGGAUCCAAUAUAACAAACCCUUCCGCGGACAGGUGUUAGGUGAAUCUUCACGUUGCAACUUU